rnacentral:rRNA from 1 species
GACGAACGCUGGCGGCGUGCCUAAUACAUGCAAGUAGAACGCUGAAGGAGGAGCUUGCUUCUCUGGAUGAGUUGCGAACGGGUGAGUAACGCGUAGGUAACCUGCCUGGUAGCGGGGGAUAACUAUUGGAAACGAUAGCUAAUACCGCAUAAGAGUAGAUGUUGCAUGACAUUUGCUUAAAAGGUGCAAUUGCAUCACUACCAGAUGGACCUGCGUUGUAUUAGCUAGUUGGUGGGGUAACGGCUCACCAAGGCGACGAUACAUAGCCGACCUGAGAGGGUGAUCGGCCAAAAUGGGACUGAGACACGGCCCAGACUCCUACGGGAGGCAGCAGUAGGGAAUCUUCGGCAAUGGACGGAAGUCUGACCGAGCAACGCCGCGUGAGUGAAGAAGGGUUUCGGAUCGUAAAGAUCUGUUGUAAGAGAAGAACGAGUGUGAGAGUGGAAAGUUCACACUGUGACGGUAUCUUACCAGAAAGGGACGGCUAACUACGUG